UACGUAGGGGGCUAGCGUUGUCCGGAAUCAUUGGGCGUAAAGAGCGUGUAGGCGGCUCGGUAAGUCCGCUGUGAAAGUCCAGGGCUCAACCCUGGAAUGCCAGUGGAAACUGUCGAGCUAGAGUCCGGAAGAGGCGAGUGGAAUUCCUGGUGUAGCAGUGAAAUGCGCAGAUAUCAGGAGGAACACCAAUGGCGAAGGCAGCUCGCUGGGACGGUACUGACGCUGAGACGCGAAAGCGUGGGGAGCAAACAGG
rnacentral:rRNA from 1 species